GUCUGUGCUUUCUAUCCCCACAAUCCAUCCUUCUUAGAGUUUGUCUGUUUGUCUGUCUGUUUCUGCCUUCUGUCCCCACAAUCCUUCAUUCUGAGAUGUUGGCUCUCUCUAGAUAUAGAUGUAGAUAGAUACACAUAUGUGUAUAUAUAUGUGUGUGUUUAAAUACUGGAUUCUUUUUUUUUUUUGCCUGUGUAGGAUUCCACGACCAUGCCCCAUACUAACCUUUUCCUGGUUGGGAGAGAGAGGGCCUUACCUAGAGGCCUUGUUAAUAUUCCCUUUCUACCCCACCCCCACGAUACAGAAGAUAUUAGAAACACGGAAUAUCAAACUGGAAGGACCUAGAAGGUGGUUUCUAAGGAAAAGGAGUUGGAAACCCAGGCAAUGGCAUCAGGUCCAUGAAACCUUACGUCAAUGGAGGGGGGAGGGAGACGCAGCGCCAAGAGAGGAAGAUGAGGGAAGGAUGGGGGAAGGGGGUUUGUACUGGGGCCUUGGGUGGCGUCUUAACCUGCAGGCUUCCCGCUGCUUCCCCUUCCCCACCUGCUGCAGAAACCGCAGAGGACCCCUCCCUACAGCCUGUGGAGAACGAAGGUCACCUGGGCUCUCCUCCCCACGCUCUGCUGGUGAAGAGGAAGAGUGGAUGCAACGUGAAGGGAAACACUAAGGACGUUCAGCAGCCCGGCCUGAGGGGAUCCGAUUGACCAGUGCCCCCAGCCCAGAGCCCCCGCCCCCGCGCCCUGCCCUCUGCAGCAAAUCCUGCUGCUCCAAGCCCUGGGACCUGUAAUCCCGGAUCUCCAGGGCUAUGUAUAGCAGCCUUCGGUCUGGGCCUCCCGCUCCCAACCCUACUGUACCCCCGACCCCCACCCCUCCAAGCCCCUGGCUCGCAACUCACCCGCCCGACGGCUGCUCCACGGUCAAAGAUACCGGGACGGGGGGAGGGAGAGGGAGAGGGAGAAGAUCUAAGAGCUGCCACGCAAUGCAAUGCAAUCAAUGCAAAGUCCUGCAACGCCAAGCAAGGAACGAACCUAGCACUCCGUGUGCUGCAGCCCCGCCGCUCUCGGCUUCGGGGCUGGGAGGGGGCAGCCACGCGCGCGCGUCCGCGAGCCGGCUCCUCCUCGCGUUCCCGCUCCCGCAGCAGCAGCAGCGCCGCUGCCACCGCCUCCUCCUGCAGCAGUCUCUCGCGAGACUCCCGCCCUCCGGCCCAUCUAACUCAAGCACCACUCCCCGGGUUGUCGCGAGAGGGGCCCGUACCCGCUGCCUGGGCUCCCGCAACGCUGUCCGAGGUGCUGCGACUGGUUUGGCUACUCCAGUUUUGACCUCCAGUUGUAUUGAUUUCAUGAUGGGUAAGAUUUUCCCUGUGCUCUCAUGGAACCCAGGCAAUACCCAUCAACUGAUUACAGUACUCAAAUAUCCAAAAGUAUAGAUCUGGGAGAUGAGGAAACAAAGAAUUCUUUGGUCCUUCCCUGCCAAUCAUCAUUCUGAAGACCUUGAAAAGAAGUCUCUAAAAUAUGUCAGUGAUAAGAAUUUUCAUCUACCCAAGGGGAAACCUGGAAAGACAUCUUGGAAACUGCCCCACAAACCCCAAUCUGGAUGCAAAUUUGGAGGACCACAGCAUCUCCUUCAUAUUUCUAGUAUACCUGAAACCUUGGUUGGCUAUAUAUAAUAUCCU
ensembl:lncRNA